GAUCAUGGCUCAGAUUGAACGCUGGCGGCAUGCCUUACACAUGCAAGUCGAACGGUAACGGGCCUUCGGGUGCCGACGAGUGGCGAACGGGUGAGUAAUGCAUCGGAACGUACCUUUCAGUGGGGGAUAACGUAGCGAAAGUUACGCUAAUACCGCAUAUUCUGUGAGCAGGAAAGCAGGGGAUCGCAAGACCUUGCGCUGAUUGAGCGGCCGAUGUCAGAUUAGCUAGUUGGUGAGGUAAAGGCUCACCAAGGCGACGAUCUGUAGCGGGUCUGAGAGGAUGAUCCGCCACACUGGAACUGAGACACGGUCCAGACUCCUACGGGAGGCAGCAGUGGGGAAUUUUGGACAAUGGGGGCAACCCUGAUCCAGCCAUGCCGCGUGAGUGAAGAAGGCCUUCGGGUUGUAAAGCUCUUUCGGCCGGGAAGAAAUCGCAUGGGUUAAUACCCUGUGCGGAUGACGGUACCGGCAUAAGAAGCACCGGCUAACUACGUG
rnacentral:rRNA from 1 species